AACGAACGCUGGCGGCAUGCCUAACACAUGCAAGUCGAACGAGACCUUCGGGUCUAGUGGCGCACGGGUGCGUAACGCGUGGGAACCUGCCCUUAGGUUCGGAAUAACUCCCCGAAAGGGGUGCUAAUACCGGAUAAUGUCUUCGGACCAAAGAUUUAUCGCCUUUGGAUGGGCCCGCGUUGGAUUAGCUGGUUGGUAGGGUAAAAGCCUACCAAGGCGACGAUCCAUAGCUGGUCUGAGAGGAUGAUCAGCCACACUGGGACUGAGACACGGCCCAGACUCCUACGGGAGGCAGCAGUGGGGAAUAUUGGACAAUGGGCGAAAUCCUGAUCCAGCAAUGCCGCGUGAGUGAUGAAGGCCUUAGGGUUGUAAAGCUCUUUUACCCGGGAUGAUAAUGACAGUACCGGGAGAAUAAGCUCCGGCUAACUCCGUG
rnacentral:rRNA from 1 species